rnacentral:rRNA from 1 species
AUGCCGUGUUGUUCAACAAAAACUAUCUUUCUGUGGACCGCCGUUACCUUACAUAUCCUCUGGGCUACCCAAAAGGAAAUGCAUGAAAUCCUCUUUCGAGUUGGAUUUCUUUUAGUUUACUGGUGUGCCUUCUGCACGCUCUUGCUCUCUCUUCCUAGUUGUGACAUUGCCUCCAUUUUUUUAGAUGAUGGUUUCUUCCCCGUUCUUAGUCCAGAAAUUUCGGCCCGUAAUAGAAAGAGAUGCAGGGUGAUCAUCGAUGGGCUUAGGGGACAAGGGCCUGUCAUUCGGUCACCCUUAGGCACUAAUUGGGCCGGGUUCACGCCCGAGGAGUCUGAGAUGUUAAAAGUUGGGUACCGAAAGAGAUCUUUCUAUGGUGGCCCAGACUACAAGUGUCCCAGAUGUGAGGCAGUCUUCUGGUUCGAGGAGAGAGUGAAGUCAGAGUCCGCUAUCACACGAAGGCGGAUGGUUUACAACAAAUGUUGCAAGGGUGGUAAGGUGUAUAUUACACCUUUUAAAAAGCCACCCUUGUUCCUCUCUGAAUUGCUGAGAUACAAUUGUCCUCCGCGUAGCAAAGAUUUUAUAAAAAAGAUAUGCCAGUACAACUGUCUCUUUGUGUUUACUUCUAUGGGGACUACUGUUGAUCGCUCAAUAAAUGAUGGUAAUGGCCCAAAUAUAUACAAAAUAAAUGAUCAGGUUUGCCAUCGAACGGGGUCUCUUAUGCCUAAGAAAGGAAACACCCCAAAGUAUGCUGAAUUGUAUAUAUAUGAUACCCAGAAUAAGAUAAAAAACAUGAUUCAGGCUUUGGACAAGGGUGAAAAGGGUAAUGGUGCUUUAGACAAGUCUAUUGUUGAAGGGUUGAUGCACAUGCUUGAUGCGCACAAUUCUUUUGUCAAAACAUUUCGAUCAGCUAGGGAAAUAUUAGAAGCCAAUAAACAUGCUGAAAUAGCCAUAUGUUUAAUUGCCCCUGGAGAAUCUGAUAGUCCACAGUUUAGUCUUCCUACCACCGAUGAGCUUGCAUCUUUGAUGUUUGGUGAGUUUACGGUAGAAACUUCUUGUCAUGACAUAAUAAUACAUGGUAGGGAUGACAAUCUGCAACAAAUAUCUUCUUUGCAAACUUCAUAUAUGCCUUUGCAGUAUCCUCUUCUCUUCCCCUAUGCCGAGCGUGGGUUUCAGCUUGGGAUUAGAUAUAUUGGUUCAGACCCCCUUGAUACAACCAAAAGAACUAGGCUUACCAUGCAGGAUUAUUAUUCCUAUUGUCUCCACUACAGACCAGAGCAACAUAAUCCAUACCUUUGUUGUGGUUUGCUCUCCCCACAGGCCAUUGUAGAUGCACGCGCUUGCAUAGAUGAGUGGAGAUUGCAUUUUAUCAUGAAGGCUAACAAUGAUCUUAGAGCAGAAAACUUGCAAGGGGUUACUGAUGCUGUUGGAAAAGGGCAGACAGAUGCAGGUUCUGUUGGCAAGAAAAACAUACUUCCAUCAUCUUUUACCGGUGGCCGCCGUUAUAUGGUUGAGAACUUCCAAGAUGCGAUAGCUAUUUCGCGUGUAUUUGGCCCACCAGACCUUUUCACCACCUUCACCUAUAAUCCCAAGUGGGGUGAAAUAGCUGAGGCCUUGUCAUCUGAGCCUGGGCAAAUGCCUUCGGAUCGAGCUGAUCUUCUAGUUAGGGUUUAUCACAUGAAGCUAAAUGACUAUCUUCAUGAUAUCAAGUCUGGGGAGGCAUUUGGCCCUGUUGUAGCUGUCCUGCAUACUGUAGAGUUUCAGAAAAGAGGGCUUCCUCAUGCUCAUAUCCUGAUCUUGCUUGAUAGGAAGAAGCGGGAGAUGGCGCAUCAAAUGCUUUCUGAGAUACACAACCACAGCAGGAAACGGGUUGUCUUUGUCCUUGUAUCUCACCUCUGGUUCUAG